GUGAAUCAUCAAAUUUUUGAACGCAAAUUGCACUCUCUGCUGAUAGUAUGCCUGUUUGAGGUUCAGUAUUAAUAAAAAUCUGCAGGUUGCUCUGGUGUUACGUUCCUGAGUUGGGGUCAUCUUAUAACAACACCCUUUCAGGGUAGUUUUAAGAGGCUUAAAAUUCACCUUUUGUGUACAUUUUAGUCGUACAUGAAUUUUUUUUUAUUCGUGU
rnacentral:misc_RNA from 1 species